AGUCAUUCCCCUCUUCCCCCAGCAAGGGGGGUUCCUGUCCUAGCCGGGCCAAGAUGUCAAUGACAGGGGCGGGAAAAUCACCUCCAUCUGUCCAGAGUUUGGCUAUGAGGCUACUGAGUAUGCCGGGAGCCCAGGGAGCUGCAGCAGCAGGGCCUGAACCCCCUCCAGCCACCGCUAGCCCAGAGGGACAGCCCAAGGUCCACCGAGCCCGCAAAACCAUGUCCAAACCAGGGAAUGGACAGCAUUCCAAGACCCCAUCUCUAAAAGAAGUUUGAGAGAAUGUUUCAAAGGCCAGGCCCAGUGAUUCACGCCUGUAAUCCCGUACUUUCUGGGGAGGAUCACUUGACACCAGGAGUUCAAGACCAGCCUGGGCAACAUGGCAAGACCUCUUCUCUACCAAAAAAAAAAAAUUAAGACAUUAGUUAGGCAUUGUGACAUGUGCCUGUAAUCCCAGCUUCCCAGGAAGCUGAGGCAGGAGAAUGGCUUGAGCCCAGUUCGAGGCUGAAGUGAGCCAUAGUCAUGCCACUGCACUCCAGUCUGGCCCCCGGUCCCUGAGAAGCGGCCCCCUGAAGUACAGCAUUUCCGCAUGAGUGAUGAUGUCCACUCACUGGGAAAGGUGACCUCAGAUAUGGCCAAAAGGAGGAAGCUGAACUCAGGAGGUGGCCUGUCGGAGGAGUUAGGUUCUGCCCGGCGUUCAGGAGAAGUGACCCUGACGAAAGGGGACCCCGGGUCCCUGGAAGAGUGGGAGACGGUGGUGGGUGAUGACUUCAGUCUCUACUAUGAUUCCUACUCUGUGGAUGAGCGCGUGGACUCCGACAGCAAGUCUGAAGUUGAAGCUCUAACUGAACAACUAAGUGAAGAGGAGGAGGAAGAAGAGGAGGAAGAAGAAGAGGAGGAAGAGGAGGAGGAAGAGGAAGAAGAAGAGGAAGAUGAGGAGUCAGGGAAUCAGUCAGAUAGGAGUGGUUCCAGUGGCCGGCGCAAGGCCAAGAAGAAAUGGCGAAAAGACAGCCCAUGGGUGAAGCCAUCUCGGAAACGGCGCAAGCGGGAGCCUCCGCGGGCCAAGGAGCCACGAGGAGUGAAUGGUGUGGGCUCCUCAGGCCCCAGUGAGUACAUGGAGGUCCCUCUGGGGUCCCUGGAGCUGCCCAGCGAGGGGACCCUCUCCCCCAACCACGCUGGGGUGUCCAAUGACACAUCUUCGCUGGAGACAGAGCGAGGGUUUGAGGAGUUGCCCCUGUGCAGCUGCCGCAUGGAGGCACCCAAGAUUGACCGCAUCAGCGAGAGGGCAGGGCACAAGUGCAUGGCCACCGAGAGUGUGGAUGGAGAGCUGUCAGGCUGCAAUGCCGCCAUCCUCAAGCGAGAGACCAUGAGGCCUUCUAGCCGCGUGGCCCUGAUGGUGCUCUGUGAGACCCACCGCGCCCGCAUGGUCAAACACCACUGCUGCCCGGGCUGCGGCUACUUCUGCACGGCGGGCACCUUCCUGGAGUGCCACCCUGACUUCCGUGUGGCCCACCGCUUCCACAAGGCCUGUGUGUCUCAGCUGAAUGGGAUGGUCUUCUGUCCCCACUGUGGGGAGGAUGCUUCUGAAGCUCAAGAGGUGACCAUCCCCCGGGGUGACGGGGUGACCCCACCGGCUGGCACUGCAGCUCCUGCACCCCCACCCCUGUCCCAGGAUGCCCCUGGGAGAGCAGACACUUCUCAGCCCAGGUACUGGCUUCCCCCUUCUGUACUGUCUGUUCCCUGCCCCACCCCUAUUGCUCCUGGACAUGAGCUCCUUCUUCCACAGCGCCCGGAUGCGAGGGCAUGGGGAACCCCGGCGCCCGCCCUGCGAUCCCCUGGCUGACACCAUCGACAGCUCAGGGCCCUCCCUGACCCUGCCCAAUGGGGGCUGCCUUUCAGCCGUGGGGCUGCCACUGGGGCCAGGCCGGGAGGCCCUGGAAAAGGCCCUGGUCAUCCAGGAGUCAGAGAGGCGGAAGAAGCUCCGUUUCCACCCUCGGCAGUUGUACCUGUCCGUGAAGCAGGGCGAGCUGCAGAAGGUGAUCCUGAUGCUGUUGGACAACCUGGACCCCAACUUCCAGAGCGACCAGCAGAGCAAGCGCACGCCCCUGCAUGCAGCUGCCCAGAAGGGCUCCGUGGAGAUCUGCCAUGUGCUGCUGCAGGCUGGAGCCAACAUAAAUGCAGUGGACAAACAGCAGCGGACGCCACUGAUGGAGGCCGUGGUGAACAACCACCUGGAGGUGGCCCGUUACAUGGUGCAGCGUGGUGGCUGUGUCUAUAGCAAGGAGGAGGACGGCUCCACCUGCCUCCACCACGCAGCCAAAAUCGGGAACUUGGAGAUGGUCAGCCUGCUGCUGAGCACAGGACAGGUGGACGUCAAUGCCCAGGACAGCGGGGGGUGGACGCCCAUCAUCUGGGCUGCAGAGCACAAGCACAUCGAAGUGAUCCGCAUGCUACUGACGCGGGGCGCCGACGUCACCCUCACUGACAACGUGAGUGAGAGUUUGGUUGAGGAGGAGAACAUCUGCCUGCACUGGGCCUCCUUCACGGGCAGCGCCGCCAUCGCCGAAGUUCUUCUGAAUGCGCGCUGCGAUCUCCAUGCUGUCAACUACCACGGGGACACCCCCCUGCACAUCGCAGCUCGGGAGAGCUACCAUGACUGCGUGCUGUUAUUCCUGUCACGUGGAGCCAACCCUGAGCUGCGGAACAAGGAGGGGGACACAGCAUGGGACCUGACUCCCGAGCGCUCCGACGUGUGGUUUGCGCUUCAACUCAACCGCAAGCUCCGACUCGGGGUGGGAAAUCGGGCCAUCCGCACAGAGAAGAUCAUCUGCCGGGACGUGGCUCGGGGCUAUGAGAACGUGCCCAUUCCCUGUGUCAAUGGUGUGGAUGGGGAGCCCUGCCCCGAGGAUUACAAGUACAUCUCGGAGAACUGCGAGACGUCCACCAUGAACAUCGACCGCAACAUCACCCACCUGCAGCACUGCACGUGUGUGGACGACUGCUCCAGCUCCAACUGCCUGUGCGGCCAGCUCAGCAUCCGGUGCUGGUAUGACAAGGAUGGGCGAUUGCUCCAGGAAUUUAACAAGAUUGAGCCCCCACUGAUUUUCGAGUGUAACCAGGCAUGCUCAUGCUGGAGAAACUGCAAGAACCGGGUCGUACAGAGUGGCAUCAAGGUGCGGCUACAGCUCUACCGAACAGCCAAGAUGGGCUGGGGGGUCCGCGCCCUGCAGACCAUCCCACAGGGGACCUUCAUUUGCGAGUAUGUUGGGGAGCUGAUCUCUGAUGCUGAGGCUGAUGUGAGAGAGGAUGAUUCUUACCUCUUCGACUUGGACAACAAGGAUGGAGAAGUGUACUGCAUUGAUGCCCGUUACUAUGGCAACAUCAGCCGCUUCAUCAACCACCUGUGUGACCCCAACAUCAUUCCCGUCCGGGUCUUCAUGCUGCACCAAGACCUGCGAUUUCCACGCAUCGCCUUCUUCAGUUCCCGAGACAUCCGGACUGGGGAGGAGCUAGGGUUUGACUAUGGCGACCGCUUCUGGGACAUCAAAAGCAAGUAUUUCACCUGCCAGUGUGGCUCUGAGAAGUGCAAGCACUCAGCCGAAGCCAUUGCCCUGGAGCAGAGCCGUCUGGCCCGCCUGGACCCACACCCUGAGCUGCUGCCUGAGCUCGGCUCCCUGCCCCCUGUCAACACAUGAGAACGGACCACACCCUCCCUCCCCAGCAUGGAUGGCUACAGCUCAGCCACCUCCUCUGCCACCAGCUGCUCGCAGCCCAUGCCUGGGGGUGCUGCCAUCUUCUCUCCCCACCACCCUUUCACACAUUCCUGACCAGAGAUCCCAGCCAGGCCCUGGAGGUCUGACAGCCCCUCCCUCCCAGAGCUGGUUCCUCCCUGGGAGGGCAACUUCAGGGCUGGUCACUCCCCUGUUCCCCAUCCUCAGUUGAAGUUUGAUGAAUUGAAGUCGGGCCUCUAUGCCAACUGGUUCCUUUUGUUGUCAAUAAAUGUUGGGUUUGGUAAUAAA
rnacentral:sRNA from 1 species